AUUGAACGCUGGCGGCAGGCCUAACACAUGCAAGUCGAGCGGAUGAUGAAAGCUUGCUUUCUGAUUCAGCGGCGGACGGGUGAGUAAUGCCUAGGAAUCUGCCUGUUAGUGGGGGAUAACUCGGGGAAACUCGGGCUAAUACCGCAUACGUCCUACGGGAGAAAGGGGGGGAUCUUAGGACCUCACGCUAACAGAUGAGCCUAGGUCGGAUUAGCUAGUAGGUGAGGUAAUGGCUCACCUAGGCUACGAUCCGUAACUGGUCUGAGAGGAUGAUCAGUCACACUGGAACUGAGACACGGUCCAGACUCCUACGGGAGGCAGCAGUGGGGAAUAUUGGACAAUGGGCGAAAGCCUGAUCCAGCCAUGCCGCGUGUGUGAAGAAGGUCUUCGGAUUGUAAAGCACUUUAAGUUGGGAGGAAGGGCGCUCGGUGAAUACCCAGGCGUCUUGACGUUACCGACAGAAUAAGCACCGGCUAACUUCGUGCCAGCCGCCGCGGUAAUAC
rnacentral:rRNA from 1 species